AGCGAACGCUGGCGGCAGGCCUAACACAUGCAAGUCGAGCGGGCGUAGCAAUACGUCAGCGGCAGACGGGUGAGUAACGCGUGGGAACGUACCUUUUGGUUCGGAACAACACAGGGAAACUUGUGCUAAUACCGGAUAAGCCCUUACGGGGAAAGAUUUAUCGCCGAAAGAUCGGCCCGCGUCUGAUUAGCUAGUUGGUGAGGUAACGGCCCACCAAGGCGACGAUCAGUAGCUGGUCUGAGAGGAUGAUCAGCCACAUUGGGACUGAGACACGGCCCAAACUCCUACGGGAGGCAGCAGUGGGGAAUAUUGGACAAUGGGGGCAACCCUGAUCCAGCCAUGCCGCGUGAGUGAUGAAGGCCCUAGGGUUGUAAAGCUCUUUUGUGCGGGAAGAUAAUGACGGUACCGCAAGAAUAAGCCCCGGCUAACUUCGUGCCAGCCGCCGCGGUAA
rnacentral:rRNA from 1 species